CACAUGCAAGUCGAACGAUGAAGCCUGUAACUUGUUGUGGGUGGAUUAGUGGCGAACGGGUGAGUAAUACGUGAGUAACCUGCCCUCCUUUUUGGGAUAAGCCUUGGAAACGGGGUCUAAUACCGGAUAUUCUGGCAUGCUCGCAUGGGUGUGUUGGGAAAGCUUUAUGUGAAGGGGGAUGGGCUCGCGGCCUAUCAGCUUGUUGGUGGGGUGAUGGCCUACCAAGGCGGUGACGGGUAGCCGGCCUGAGAGGGUGACCGGCCACAUUGGGACUGAGAUACGGCCCAGACUCCUACGGGAGGCAGCAGUGGGGGAUAUUGCACAAUGGGCGAAAGCCUGAUGCAGCGACGCCGCGUGGGGGAUGAAGGCUUUCGGGUUGUAAACCUCUUUCGCUAUCGAACAAGGCUCAUUUUUUGGUGGGUUGAGGGUAGGUGGAGAAGAAGCGCCGGCUAACUACGUGCCAG
rnacentral:rRNA from 1 species